UUUACACAACGGCACAUGGGUUUAAAUCUGAAAACAAGAUUUUUUCUUUAAUAUCUAACGAAAUAAUCCGAAUAUUUCUUAAUUCUGUUAAAACCAAAUUUUUAUCAACCCAAAGUUUUGCUUAAAGAUCAAACAAAACCGAUUUAUUCGACAAUAGUUUACCAAAUUUAUCAGCAUUUUUUGGUCUUAUUUUCUUCCAUUGAUUGUUUG
rnacentral:lncRNA from 1 species